rnacentral:lncRNA from 1 species
UUUAUUAAUUUCAUAUUAUAUUGAAAAUGAUCGGUAUCAGUUAUUAAAUAAUGAUUAUAAAUGAUACUAUUAAUAAUGGUUCAAUAUUAUUUAUAUCUGUUCUGUUGCAUAAAAAAGAGCAAGAACUGCAAAACUCUAUACAAAUGACUUUCAGCUGGAUAUUCAGAUUAUUAAAAUCAGGGCUUCGGACCGAAAACCGAAAAAAAAAAACAGUUAUUUUUUCCGGAACGAAAACUGGAGCUGAACCGAAAAAAUCGGUUUUAUUUCGUUUUCGAGAUGGUACAUGAUCAUGAUACACACGCUCAUUAGCUUCAUCUCACUUCCCACUCCAGCGGUCACCAUAAAUUGAAGCCAGAAGCCAAGAGUUUGAAGCAAAUAACAUCUAAUCUAUUCUGUGAUGGGAUUCGUUUCUGUAUUUGCAGAGUAUACAAUAUAUCUUCGCGUCUUCGGCCUUUCAUAGCUGCGAUUUGUAAACAAACGACUUGCUACGAACACAGACGAUGAAUUUUGAUAUACAUUGAUGUGGUCUUCCAUACGCAAAAUUUAAGGUUCUGAUCGGAGGUUUAGUACUGAUAUCUUGAUUACUGUUAAAAUUCGUUUAGGCUUACGAAAUUGUAAAACAUGCAAUAAUCAAUGUUAUAUCAUUUUAUGUAGGUCUAUG